GUCUCUUUGUAGAUUAUAAAUAGAGAGUUAGACCUGCUCGGUGAUGUAUUUAACAGCUGCGGUAUUUUAACUGUACUAAGGUAGCAUAAUAGUUUGCCUUAUAAAUUGAGGCUAGAAUGAAUGGUUUGACGAAGGUUAACCUGUCUCUAUAUUAUUUUUUAGAAAUUAAUUUUUAUAGUGAAAAAGCUUGGAUUUUUUAAAGGGACGAGAAGACCCUAAUGAGCUUUAAUUUUAAGUAUUAGGUAAGGUAAUACAUGAAUUUUAAUUGGGGUGAUUAAGGAAUAAUAUUUAAAAAGUAACUUCCUUAGCUUAAAUGUGUUUUUAUGAAGUAACCAAUGUAUAUUGCUUAUAAAAAAGUUACCAUAGGGAUAACAGCGUAAUUUGUUUAGAGAGUUCUUAUUAAAAAAUGAGAUUGCGACCUCGAUGUUGGAUUAAAAUAACCUUAAGGUGUAGAAGCUUUAUACGGUAAAUCUGUUCGAUUUUUAAUAUUUU
rnacentral:rRNA from 1 species